UACAGAGGUCCCAAGCGUUGUUCGGAUUUACUGGGCGUAAAGGGUGCGUAGGUGGUCGGGUAAGUUUGAUGUGAAAUCUCCGGGCCUAACCCGGAAACUGCAUCGAAUACUAUUCGGCUGGAGGGUUGGAGGGGAGACUGGAAUACUUGGUGUAGCAGUGAAAUGCGUAGAUAUCAAGUGGAACACCAGUGGCGAAGGCGAGUCUCUGGACAACUCCUGACACUGAGGCACGAAAGCUAGGGGAGCAAACAGG
rnacentral:rRNA from 1 species